UUAAGCGACUAAGCGUACACGGUGGAUGCCCUGGCAGUCAGAGGCGAUGAAGGACGUGCUAAUCUGCGAUAAGCGUCGGUAAGGUGAUAUGAACCGUUAUAACCGGCGAUUUCCGAAUGGGGAAACCCAGUGUGAUUCGUCACACUAUCAUUAACUGAAUCCAUAGGUUAAUGAGGCGAACCGGGGGAACUGAAACAUCUAAGUACCCCGAGGAAAAGAAAUCAACCGAGAUUCCCCCAGUAGCGGCGAGCGAACGGGGAGCAGCCCAGAGCCUGAAUCAGUGUGUGUGUUAGUGGAAGCGUCUGGAAAGGCGUGCGAUACAGGGUGACAGCCCCGUACACAAAAAUGCACAUAUUGUGAGCUCGAUGAGUAGGGCGGGACACGUGGUAUCCUGUCUGAAUAUGGGGGGACCAUCCUCCAAGGCUAAAUACUCCUGACUGACCGAUAGUGAACCAGUACCGUGAGGGAAAGGCGAAAAGAACCCCGGCGAGGGGAGUGAAAAAGAACCUGAAACCGUGUACGUACAAGCAGUGGGAGCACGCUUAGGCGUGUGACUGCGUACCUUUUGUAUAAUGGGUCAGCGACUUAUAUUCUGUAGCAAGGUUAACCGAAUAGGGGAGCCGAAGGGAAACCGAGUCUUAACUGGGCGUUAAGUUGCAGGGUAUAGACCCGAAACCCGGUGAUCUAGCCAUGGGCAGGUUGAAGGUUGGGUAACACUAACUGGAGGACCGAACCGACUAAUGUUGAAAAAUUAGCGGAUGACUUGUGGCUGGGGGUGAAAGGCCAAUCAAACCGGGAGAUAGCUGGUUCUCCCCGAAAGCUAUUUAGGUAGCGCCUCGUGAAUUCAUCUCCGGGGGUAGAGCACUGUUUCGGCAAGGGGGUCAUCCCGACUUACCAACCCGAUGCAAACUGCGAAUACCGGAGAAUGUUAUCACGGGAGACACACGGCGGGUGCUAACGUCCGUCGUGAAGAGGGAAACAACCCAGACCGCCAGCUAAGGUCCCAAAGUCAUGGUUAAGUGGGAAACGAUGUGGGAAGGCCCAGACAGCCAGGAUGUUGGCUUAGAAGCAGCCAUCAUUUAAAGAAAGCGUAAUAGCUCACUGGUCGAGUCGGCCUGCGCGGAAGAUGUAACGGGGCUAAACCAUGCACCGAAGCUGCGGCAGCGACACUAUGUGUUGUUGGGUAGGGGAGCGUUCUGUAAGCCUGUGAAGGUGUACUGUGAGGUAUGCUGGAGGUAUCAGAAGUGCGAAUGCUGACAUAAGUAACGAUAAAGCGGGUGAAAAGCCCGCUCGCCGGAAGACCAAGGGUUCCUGUCCAACGUUAAUCGGGGCAGGGUGAGUCGACUCCUAAGGCGAGGCCGAAAGGCGUAGUCGAUGGGAAACAGGUUAAUAUUCCUGUACUUGGUGUUACUGCGAAGGGGGGACGGAGAAGGCUAUGUUGGCCGGGCGACGGUUGUCCCGGUUUAAGCGUGUAGGCUGGUUUUCCAGGCAAAUCCGGAAAACUAAGGCUGAGGCGUGAUGACGAGGCACUACGGUGCUGAAGCAACAAAUGCCCUGCUUCCAGGAAAAGCCUCUAAGCAUCAGGUAACAUCAAAUCGUACCCCAAACCGACACAGGUGGUCAGGUAGAGAAUACCAAGGCGCUUGAGAGAACUCGGGUGAAGGAACUAGGCAAAAUGGUGCCGUAACUUCGGGAGAAGGCACGCUGAUAUGUAGGUGAAGUCCCUCGCGGAUGGAGCUGAAAUCAGUCGAAGAUACCAGCUGGCUGCAACUGUUUAUUAAAAACACAGCACUGUGCAAACACGAAAGUGGACGUAUACGGUGUGACGCCUGCCCGGUGCCGGAAGGUUAAUUGAUGGGGUCAGCGCAAGCGAAGCUCUUGAUCGAAGCCCCGGUAAACGGCGGCCGUAACUAUAACGGUCCUAAGGUAGCGAAAUUCCUUGUCGGGUAAGUUCCGACCUGCACGAAUGGCGUAAUGAUGGCCAGGCUGUCUCCACCCGAGACUCAGUGAAAUUGAACUCGCUGUGAAGAUGCAGUGUACCCGCGGCAAGACGGAAAGACCCCGUGAACCUUUACUAUAGCUUGACACUGAACAUUGAGCCUUGAUGUGUAGGAUAGGUGGGAGGCUUUGAAGUGUGGACGCCAGUCUGCAUGGAGCCGACCUUGAAAUACCACCCUUUAAUGUUUGAUGUUCUAACGUUGACCCGUAAUCCGGGUUGCGGACAGUGUCUGGUGGGUAGUUUGACUGGGGCGGUCUCCUCCUAAAGAGUAACGGAGGAGCACGAAGGUUGGCUAAUCCUGGUCGGACAUCAGGAGGUUAGUGCAAUGGCAUAAGCCAGCUUGACUGCGAGCGUGACGGCGCGAGCAGGUGCGAAAGCAGGUCAUAGUGAUCCGGUGGUUCUGAAUGGAAGGGCCAUCGCUCAACGGAUAAAAGGUACUCCGGGGAUAACAGGCUGAUACCGCCCAAGAGUUCAUAUCGACGGCGGUGUUUGGCACCUCGAUGUCGGCUCAUCACAUCCUGGGGCUGAAGUAGGUCCCAAGGGUAUGGCUGUUCGCCAUUUAAAGUGGUACGCGAGCUGGGUUUAGAACGUCGUGAGACAGUUCGGUCCCUAUCUGCCGUGGGCGCUGGAGAACUGAGGGGGGCUGCUCCUAGUACGAGAGGACCGGAGUGGACGCAUCACUGGUGUUCGGGUUGUCAUGCCAAUGGCACUGCCCGGUAGCUAAAUGCGGAAGAGAUAAGUGCUGAAAGCAUCUAAGCACGAAACUUGCCCCGAGAUGAGUUCUCCCUGACUCCUUGAGAGUCCUGAAGGAACGUUGAAGACGACGACGUUGAUAGGCCGGGUGUGUAAGCGCAGCGAUGCGUUGAGCUAACCGGUACUAAUGAACCGUGAGGCUUAACCUU
rnacentral:rRNA from 1 species